UAGGUGAACUUUGGAAAGAAAAAAGAAAGAAAAAGAAAGAAAGAAAAAAAUCAAUCA
rnacentral:ribozyme from 14 species